UUGAUAUUUUAUUUAAUUGAAUCUUUGCAUUACUAUUAUUGUUUAUUUUGUCUUGUAACUAAAGUUAAGUUUGAAAAAUUUUCAGAAUCCGAAAUUAUUUCGUGAAACGGAAAAUCAUAGAGGAGUGACAUUUCGAUGUUUUGCAGUUUUCGGCAAAAUAUUGACAACAUGUCCGUGUUUAUUUUGAUUAUUCAUAAUAUGUACUAUGAAUAGUGUGUAUUUUAACCACGUUUUAGUGGAUCGAGUGUAUCGCUGCCUUUGGAAUAAACAAACAUUAAGUUAGUAACAUGGAGAGAAAAUCGGAUUCGAAAAAGCAGGGUCAAUACUGAGGCGUGGAAUGAGGAAGAAUCGCAGUAACUCAAGCUGAGCGGUCGCUAGGGUCGCUAGGCGCAGGCGCUAAACCGAGCUGAGUACGACGCGUGGGUGGCGCCUACCGGCUGCAACUCAACUAAACAGAACCCGUCGCAUGGGUCAAUACUGAGGCGUGGAAUGAGGAAGAAUCGCAGUAACUCAAGCUGAGCGGUCGGUAGGGUCGCUAGGCGCAGGCGCUAAACCGAGCUGAGUACGACGCGUGGGUGGCGCCUACCGGCCGCAACUCAACUAAACAGAACCCGUCGCAUGGGUCAAUACUGAGGCGUGGAAUGAGGAAGAAUCGCAGUAACUCAAGCUGAGCGGUCGGUAGGGUCGCUAGGGUCAAUACUGAGGCGUGGAAUGAGGAAGAAUCGCAGUAACUCAGCCGAGCGGUCGCUAGGGUCGCUAGAUGCAGUAGAACGAAGAAGUAGCUGGCAACUUGAAUGCAAGUGUGCAUUAGAUGGCGCCACCAUAGCUUUGCCCGGACAAGAGUUUUGCUCUAUGAGAUUUGACUUCUAAUAUUAAAAUACUUGGACCGAUUCAGGGAGAAGAACGCGCUUUAUCAGCACACUCACGCUCCUUUGAAAGCAAAAGCAUAAUAUUAUUGUUAAUGUAUUUUUUUCUAGUAUGUAACUUGUAACGUAAUGUAACGUGUGUUGUCAUGUAACUACUGAAUUUUUGAUUGACAAAUAAGUUAUCAGUUAGUUAGUUGUAUUAGGUAAUUAAUUUAAUUGAAAUUGUGCACACAUGCUCCCGCAAUUUGGCAAUAUCAACAACGUUUAUUAAAGUUUUUCGAAUGCAUAUCGCAAAUGUCAGAAUAUUCUGUUCAUAAAAGUUAUGGAUUGUCAUGCCUUUUUCCAAUGACCCUUAUUUAGGGUAAAGUAACACCAAACAAAGUAUUUGUGAGACAGUUUAACCUUUUGGCCGCCAGAGACUUAAACGGAAAAUCGUGACCACGACGCCACUUUUAUGUUAGCAUAAUUUCUUUACCCAUCCUUAAUUUACCCCCGUGGUGUCAGUGGCACGGUUUUCCGUUGACGUCAUUUGCUGUAUUUGGCGUUCAAAAGGUUAAAAACAUAAAAUUUACCAUAAAUUAAGACCCAUAAAAUUGUAAACAUCUGCGGCGAUUUAUGAUGAUUGUGUUAACUAAACGUAACAUAAGCAUUUGUAAAUGUAAUCAAUUUUAGCAUAUUACUUACCAAAACUCACCUGUGCUAUUCCAUUUCCCUGUUAUCCCCAAUCGUGCUGGUAGCAGCGAAGUGCAAUGCUUUAUACCUUUCCCCAAAAUCUCAGUCCUGCGAGUGCGAGGUGCAAAAUGUAAGUAUUUAUCAAAAAGGGACGGCUGUUUCGCAGGCUAGAUAAUGUUUCCUCCUCUCUUGUACUAGGCCGACUAGUACUCCGAUGCGCCUAUCUCCUCCUUCCUUAUAUCCGUAGCUAGUUAUCAGAAAAAUAAAAAAUAAAUCAUCCGUUUGUUUUUCUUAUGCAACAGGCGUUUAAAGGAGGUCAAAAAAGACAAGUGGCGUGGGUAACAAUUUGAGGCGAAGUAUUUUUUGACUCAGUUAAACACC